UACGAAGGGGGCUAGCGUUGCUCGGAAUGACUGGGCGUAAAGGGCGCGUAGGCGGAUGGCACAGUCAGAUGUGAAAUUCCCGGGCUUAACCUGGGGGCUGCAUUUGAUACGUGUUGUCUUGAGUUCGGAAGAGGGUCGUGGAAUUCCCAGUGUAGAGGUGAAAUUCGUAGAUAUUGGGAGGAACACCGGUGGCGAAGGCGGGUCUCUGGGCCGUUACUGACGCUGAGGAGCGAAAGCGUGGGGAGCGAACAGG
rnacentral:rRNA from 1 species